rnacentral:rRNA from 1 species
UACGAAGGGGGCUAGCGUUGCUCGGAAUCACUGGGCGUAAAGGGUGCGUAGGCGGGUCUUUAAGUCAGGGGUGAAAUCCUGGAGCUCAACUCCAGAACUGCCUUUGAUACUGAAGAUCUUGAGUUCGGGAGAGGUGAGUGGAACUGCGAGUGUAGAGGUGAAAUUCGUAGAUAUUCGCAAGAACACCAGUGGCGAAGGCGGCUCACUGGCCCGAUACUGACGCUGAGGCACGAAAAG